GAGCUCGCUUCUAGCCGUCCGCGUCGUCGGACAAGGAGUUUGUUUGUUACCUCCUUCAUCUUUGACACCUUGACCU
rnacentral:rRNA from 1 species